rnacentral:lncRNA from 1 species
CAAAAUAUUUAAUAAACUUCGGAAAUUCAUAUCUUCUUCAUACGAACUCCGUUUUCGACGUUCUUUAUAUCCACGCGAAGGUGAGACUACGCUCUACAACUUUCGUUUAGACUCCGUCGGCUAAUUUUAAAUUUAUUUUUAUUAUUUAUUUUUAAUAGGCCGAGACAGAAAAACUUCGUUAUAAAUUCAUAACUUCUUCGUUUGACGUCCGUUCUCGCCUAACUUUUUAUCGCUUCGAUACCAACAACGAGACCUUCGAUCCUCGUUUAGAUUGCUUCGGCUAAAAACCGCUCGAUCUCAAAUCGAGUAAAACAGGCUGCAUACCGCUAAGCCGAAACUUCGAUAAAUCAUAACUUCCUCAUACGAAGUCAGAUUUGGGCGUUCUAUAUAUAUUCGGAAACCUCGUUUCAACUACUACAACAUUAAUCAAAGAUAUUAAGUUUAUUUUACACUUAAAUUUUGACGCUUAUUUUUAUUCUUAAUUAAUCAAACCACAUAAUUAAGCAAUUAAGCACAAAACACAUAAUACUCAAAUAAUACAAUCUUAUUAUUUCAAAACGGGUUACAAAGGUUAACCUAGACUAUUACAUUGCUAAAAAUGGCAAGCCCGGAAACACAGGCGUUACAAUUCUCUCCACCUUAGAAUGAUUCCGUCCCCGGAAUCACACAUCAACAAACAAAUGCGGAUAGCGACUCAACAUGUCACUCUCCGUCUCCCAGGUGAGAUUCGGCCCAUUCGUGUGUUUCCAUCGGACAAGCACUAACCCAACCAUUUUGCGUCGCAACUUCUUAGUCUUUCGGUCAACAAUUGCCUCUGGUUCUUCAAUCAACCUUUUGUUCUCAUCAAUUCUCAAUUCAGAAAUUGGAAUUAUAUCGGGAACUUCUCCCGUGAACUUCCUCAAAUAACACACAUGAAAGGUGUUGUGAAUUCCAUUCAGUUCUUCGGGUAAUUCGAGCUUGUAAGCUUGGUUCCCAAUCCUCUGAAGGACUUUAAACGGUCCAAUAAACCUUGGACUCAACUUUCCCCUUUUACCAAAUCUUAUAAGUCCCUUCCACGGCGAGACUUUAAGCAAAACCGAAUCUCCAACCUCAAAAGUCAUCGGUCUUCGCUUCUUGUCAGCAUAGCUCUUUUGACGAUCUUGAGCUGCUAACAUUCUUUCCCUAAUUAUUUUCAACUUUUCAGAAGUUUGAUGAACCAUAUCUGGUCCCAUAAACUGCUUUUCCCUAGCCUCAAGCCAACAGGACGGCGUACGACACUUCUGUCCAUACAAAGCUUGAUAAGGUGCCAUCUUUAUGCUCGAGUGAAAACUAUUAUUAUAGGAAAAUUCUACCAACGGUAAAUGUUCAUCCCAAUUACCUAGGAAUUCCAAGGUACAUGCUCUCAGCAUAUCUUCAAGUGUUUGUAUUGUUCUUUCACUCUGACCAUCAGUCUGCGGAUGGUAAGCUGUGCUUAAACAUAACUUGGUACCCAUUUCCUCUUGUAGACUUUUCCAAAACCUUGAGGUGAAACGGCUAUCACGAUCCGAUACAAUCGUUAACGGAACACCGUGAAGCCUCACAAUUUCCUUCACGUAAGAAUUCGCAAGCUUUUCCAUAGACCAUUUCUCCCUGGCCGCUAUGAAAUGCGCACUCUUAGUGAAUCGAUCAACGACCACCCAAAUCAUGUCGUGACCAUUCUUUGUUCUGGGCAGUUUAGUGACAAAAUCCAUAGCAAUGUCUUCCCACUUACCCAUAGGCACAGGCAAUGGUUCUAAACUCCCGUAAGGUUUCUGAUGUUGUGUCUUGACUCUCGCACAAGUCACACACUCGGCCACAUACUUUGCAACAUCAAGCUUCAUCGUCGGCCACCAGUAGUAGGGUUUCAGGUCCCUAUACAUUUUAGUGCUACCCGGAUGAAUUGAGUACAUGGUUUUGUGAGCUUCUUCCAUCAGAAGAUCCCUAAUUCCUCCUGACUUAGGUACCCAAAUACGAUCUUGGAAUACCUUCAGUCCAUGACCGUUAGUACCAAACACCAACGUUUUACCCAAACGUUCCUCCUUUCGGUCAUUUUUCUCAGAAGCUUCCUCUUGAGCUUUCUUUAUACUUUCCACAAUAGUCGAGACAACUUCAAUUCUCAACGCUCUUGGCCUCUUCCUUUCAAGAUUGACUUUCCGACUGAGAGCAUCAGCAACAACAUUAGCUUUACCGGGGUGGUAAAGUAUCUCGCAGUCGUAGUCUUUAAGUAAUUCUAGCCAGCGUCGUUGCCUCAUAUUCAAUUCUUUCUGAUUAAAGAGGUAUUGGAGACUCUUAUGAUCAGUGAAAAGUUUGCACUUCGUGCCAUAGAGGUAAUGCCUCCAUAUUUUCAGAGCGAAAACUACCGCUGCCAACUCCAAAUCAUGAGUCGGGUAAUUCUUUUCAUGCUCUUUCAGCUGUCGAGACGCAUAUGCUAUCACCUUUUCUCUUUGGGUCAAAACACAACCCAAUCCAACACCAGACGCAUCGCUAUAAACAGCGAAGUCUUCAACUCCAUCGGGUAGAGAAAGUAUCGGUGCCUCGCAUAGCUUCUUCUUUAACUUCUCGAAUGCUUCUUUAUGCUUCUCACUCCAAGCAUAAGUAGCUCCUUUGUGGGUCAAAGCUGUUAAUGGAGUAGCAAUCGAAGAAAAGCCUUGGAUAAACCUUCGGUAAUAUCCGGCUAAUCCUAAAAAGCUUCGAAUCUCCGUGGGACUUUUCGGUUGUUCCCACUUCGUCACAGCUUCGAUCUUCGCUGGAUCAACCAUUAUCCCUUCUUGGUUGACCACGUGACCCAAGAAUUGGACCUCACGAAUCCAAAAAUCACAUUUGGAGAACUUCGCAUAAAGCUUCUCCUUCUUCAAAACUUCUAACACUUCUCGCAAGUGUCUGCCAUGCUCCUCCUGGCUUUUCGAGUAGAUCAGAAUGUCGUCUAUGAACACUAUCACGGAUUUAUCAAGGAAAGGAUUACAAACCCUAUUCAUCAAAUCCAUGAACGCUGCUGGAGCAUUGGUUAGUCCAAACGACAUAACCAAGAACUCGUAGUGUCCAUAUCUAGUUCUGAAUGCAGUCUUCUCGAUAUCUUGCUCUCUUACUUUCAGCUGAUGAUAUCCUGACCUAAGAUCGAUCUUCGAGAAAUAGCUCGAACCUUGCAAUUGAUCAAACAGGUCAUCAAUCCUCGGCAACGGAUAUCUAUUCUUUAUUGUUGCCUUGUUCAGCUCUCUGUAAUCGAUGCACAUUCUCAUACUUCCAUCUUUCUUCUUUACAAAUAACACCGGAGCUCCCCAGGGCGAUGAACUAGGUCUAAUGAAACCUUUGUCCAAUAACUCCUGAAGUUGCAUCAUCAGCUCCUUCAUCUCCGUCGGUGCUAAUCGAUAAGGUGCUUUUGCUAUUGGCGUGGUUCCUGGUAACAAGUCUAUUCUGAACUCCACUUGUCUAUCAGGUGGUAAUCCAGGAAGAUCCUCGGGAAAUACUUCCGGAUAAUCACACACCACUGGAAUGCUCUGCAUCACCUUCUUUUCUUUCUUAGCAUCAAUCACGAAUGCUAAAUAUGAUGUACAUCCCUUGGUCAAACACUUUCUGGCUUUCAUUAGAGAAAUGAUUCCAGAAUUCACUCUGCGUUUGUCCCCAUACACCAUAAACGAAUCUUUUCCAGGCGGGUUUACUUUAACUAUCUUCUUCUUGCAUAAAAUUUCGGCAUCAUUGGCGCUAAGCCAAUCCAUUCCCAAGACGAUGUCGAAACCAUUAAGUUCGAUAGGCAAUAACGCCUCGUGAAACUUAUUCCCAUUAAGGUCGAUUAAGAUGUUUUUCAUACGAUGGCUAACAGGUACAAACUUGCCACUAGCUACUUCGACUAAUAAAGCAUUAUCUAGUCUAUCAACAGGCAAAGCUAGCUUUCUACCAAACUCAUGCGAAAUAAAGGAGUAGUUGGCUCCAGAAUCAAACAAUAUAUGAGCAGGUAAUUCGUUUACGAGAAAGGUACCUGAAGCGACAUCAGCUUCAUCUUUCGCAGCCUCAAGUGUCAUCUGGAAGGCUCUCGCCUUCGGCUUUGGUGGAAUGUUGGGCCUAGCUGCCUCCUUCUUCUUCGGACAGUCUUUCAAAAUAUGCCCCUCUUCAUUACACCCAAAACACAUCCUUUUGUUGUUCGGACAUUCAUUGGCAAAAUGUCCAACCUUUCCACACUUGUAGCAGGUCACAUCCUCGCUACAUUUCCCAAAGUGCUUUUUCUUACACUUAUCACACCACUUUGCUUCGCCUCCUUUUCCUCCAAACUUUUUCGAAUCAGAUUUCGAAAAUUUGCUCUUCUUACUGGAACCAGAUGUUCCUUCAAACUUCCUUUUCUCACCAACCUCAACCUUGACGGUGGUUCUCCCCUUGAUCAUGUUCUCCACAGACUUGGCAGCCCAGAUAGCUGCCUCUAGAGUAAGUGCCUGACGUACCGGCACCUCGUACUCCCAUGGAAGUCCCUUCGCAUACCGAUCCACCUUUGUCAGCUCGUCUGGAACGAUACGCAAGGCAAACUCCAUCUUAUCGGUGAAGUUAUUGGUGUACUCAUCCACUGACAUGCUACCCUUCGUCAAUGUCAAAAACUUGUUCUCCAACUCCAACAGAUUUUGAGCCGAGCAGAACUUGCGCUUGAACUGCACCAAGAACUCUGCCCAUGACAAUUGCAGUGGCUCAUUAGGGCUUAAGGUCUUCCCUAGAGUGUUCCACCAACGAACGGCUCCACCUCGGAAUUGUCGCACGGCAUAGAUAGUCUGCAACUUGCCUCUACAGCCACAUGUCAUAAAGGCUAACUCCAUUUCGGAGAUCCAAUCCAUAACCCCAAUCGGAUCCUCCUUUCCAUUGAAGGUCGAUGGUUUACAAGUCAAAAAGUCCUUGUACUUGCAUCCCAUUCCAUCAUUCCUUCCAUCAUGGUUAUCUUGCCUAACUAUCGGUGGGUUGGCUGGACCAACAGACCCACUGAAGUUUCCACCUUCCGAGUGCCCUUCAUUCAGUUCAGGCUCUUCCACACGAAUCGACAGUUCUUCACGAUUUUGUUGAAGCAACCGUCUAGUUUCAUCCAUCUGACGAUCCAACAUCGUCUGAAUCAUCAAUUGCACACCAGCCAUGGUUAUUGGCUCAGGUGCUGCUGCUACGACAGGUAUUGGCUCAAUCACUGGUGGUUGAUUCCUGUUUUCGUCAGCAUUUCCAACUCCACUUCUUGUUCUCACCAUUUUGAUCUACACCGAAUAAGGUGAAAUUAGAUCCUCAAUCAUGAUAGAUAUUCAAAUCAUCCUUAUCACUCCGAAACGUUUACAUGCUAGUUCUAAUAUCGUAGACGUACGCUUAGAAUCCUACACACAUAAGGUUUCUAGAUCCGGUCGGCAACAGACCAUAGAUCCGAACAAAUAAUAUCAUAUAUGGCAACAUAUAACAUUUAGCACAUAAAGCAUUUUAGGCAACUUUCCUAAAAUAAACUAGUGCUCGUGUCUAAAUCACAACAGACACACAUCUCAAAACUUCACUUAGCAUUCUAAGUUUAAGUCUAGAAAUCCUACAAAUUCCUAGUUCGCUUAAACUAAUGCUCUGAUACCAACUGUGACAUCCCCAAAAUCUCGGCCAGAAAAGACCGAUUUUCAUUUAUGCUUUUAAAUAUUUUCAGAGUAAAUCCUUUUGAUUUGAAAGAGUUGCGGAAUUUGUUCCCAAAAACAAAACAUGAUAAAACAUUGUUUACCGAAGCAUUUCAUAAAAGAAAUGUAUUUUCAUUAUAAUCAAAACUCGGGGUGUCAUGUUCCGAUACAGACCAAUAAGCAUAAACGAAUACAUUACAAGUCAUAUAACAAAUAUAAACAUAUGCAGACUUGUAAACAAAACAACUUGAUGGUUCAUCCAUCUCAUGCCCUUCCGCCACUUCCUGUAAUACAAUUUAAAACUGAGUGGGUCAGGCUUGGGAGCCUGGUGAGCAUAUAGGGUUUUCAACCCACAAUAAAUAUCAUAUUUAAUUUUCACCAACCAACAAUAACCCAAUUACCCAUUCCCGUUAUUCUCACUUUAAUGUCCCUAAAACAACUAACAUAAGGGACCUAGUCUAAGAAUAUUUCAUCGGGGCGACAACACAUGCUUCGGGGGUACCUCAGCAAUAUAAGUCAAAUAAGGCAACCAUGAGGGGGAUGGAGUACAGCGAAUGAACACCCAAGUUCAUUAACACCUACAGGUGGCGAACCUGCUAAUGUUUCCACAAGACUAUCUAGAAAAGUAUGUGGUCGUCAUCUAAACUCCGCUAGAUGACUAAAUCAAACAACAACGAGGCCUCUCAUCUGUUUAUUACACACCAACUAUCUACCCAUGUUCUACCCAACAUAUUAGUAGAUAAAAAUAUACAUUUUUAUACAUAGUUUAAAAACCUGUAUAGCAUGCUUUAAUCAACACAUAUUUCACAUAACAGAUGAGGCACACACACACAUAACACAUAUCUCAUAGAGAAUAAAUCAUAUCUAUGAGUUAGAAGAAAGUGAAUACACAUUCACACAUAUAAACAACAAUAUACUUAAUACACUCAAACCAUACUUGUAUUAUUAUCGUGUUUAUGAAAGGUAGUAUACACUCACUUGAUCAGAAGAUGAUCGGACAGCACUACGACUUGCAGAAGUAGUAAUCCUCAGCAGAUCUGGAAGAUCUCUUCAAAAAUCGAACUUCUCGUGGGCAGAGCUUCGGCUCGGGAACCGCACUUCUCGGGAUCUUCGGGAUCUCGGGACUUGCCUCGGGACACAAGAAUAAUACCGGGGCUUUGGGAUAUUUUUGGCACGCAAAUCGAUGCAAAACGGGAGAGAGAAGAGAGAAAAUAGCAAAAGAACUCGGCUGCCUUCAGAUCCUAUUUUUAGGAGGCUGGAGCCUCGGAGUACGCGGGGCGUACUGGUCCGAAUUCGUCAUGGCGUUCGUCAUCCGAAGCCACUUGCUGCGAGGGUCGUCAUUCUUCGGUGUACGCGGGGCGUACUUCGGAUGAGUCCGAUGACUCGUCCUCGGAUAAUACCGGAUUUUUCAAUUAAAUUUAAAUACAAAAUAUUUAAUAAACUUCGGAAAUUCAUAUCUUCUUCAUAUGAACUCCGUUUUCGACGUUCUUUAUAUCCACGCGAAGGUGAGACUACGCUCUACAACUUUCGUUUAGACUCCGUUGGCUAAUUUUAAAUUUAUUUUUAUUAUUUAUUUUUAAUAGGCCGAGACAGAAAAACUUCGUUAUAAAUUCAUAACUUCUUCGUUUGACGUCCGUUCUCGCCUAACUUUUUAUCGCUUCGAUACCAACAACGAGAC